rnacentral:lncRNA from 1 species
GUUUCUGAGCUGCUUUUCUUUUCCCCUGUAGGUUAAUGGCACAGAUGCAGAUUAUGAAUAUGAAGAAAUCACACUUGAAAGGGGAAAUUCAGGGCUUGGUUUCAGCAUUGCAGGAGGUACGGACAACCCACACAUUGGAGAUGACUCAAGUAUUUUCAUUACCAAAAUUAUCACAGGGGGAGCAGCCGCCCAAGAUGGAAGAUUGCGGGUCAAUGACUGUAUAUUACGAGUAAAUGAAGUAGAUGUUCGUGAUGUAACACAUAGCAAAGCAGUUGAAGCGUUGAAAGAAGCAGGGUCUAUUGUACGCUUGUAUGUAAAAAGAAGGAAACCAGUGUCAGAAAAAAUAAUGGAAAUAAAGCUCAUUAAAGGUCCUAAAGGUCUUGGGUUUAGCAUUGCUGGAGGUGUUGGAAAUCAGCAUAUUCCUGGGGAUAAUAGCAUCUAUGUAACCAAAAUAAUUGAAGGAGGUGCAGCACAUAAGGAUGGCAAACUUCAGAUUGGAGAUAAACUUUUAGCAGUAAGUAUAAGAAAUCUAUUGUCUUUUAAAUCAUUUUGUAGUCUGUUUAUUUUUCUGAUAGAUACUGGAAUUUCUCCAUACCAAAAAGGUCUAAAUGAUGUUUAAAUUAGCAAAUACUAGCCUUGCUGUAUCAAAUCCUAAAAAAUGAUUCUUGGUAAUUCUUUAUUUGUCAUUUCUCUUUUCUCUGCUAGCUCCUCCUCCCUUUUCCUUUUAUUCCU